rnacentral:misc_RNA from 1 species
GAGAGAAAAGACUAAAGAAAUCAGUUGAGUGAGCAUCUCCGACACGGCAACAACUGCUGUUGACUAUUUGUCACUAAAUCGCAAUCAUGAUAAACUAUGGCGUUGUGCUGCUGUUGGGUGUUGAAUCGUUGAUGGUUGGGUCGACCACUGGUGUACAGAUGUCUGGGUAUGGCGGAUAUCAAAGCACAACACUACUGUCUUAUUACUCAACAUCAACCGACGCUCUUCCAGCUUACUACACCAAGGCUCUAAAGUACUACACCACCAAGGCUUCAGAGUAUUACAAGUUGUAUAAAAGGAGAGAAAAGGCGAAAUAAUCAGGCGAGUGAUUAUCUCCGACACGAAAACAACUGUUGUGCACUAUUUGUCACUAACUGCAUUCUCCAUCGUACAUAGGGUAAACUGUGGCGUCGUGCUGCUGUUGGUUGUUGUCCUCAAAUAUUACACCACCGACACUCCAAUUUAUGCUGCACGAGCUGCAUCACCAAAGAGCCCGAACCCAUCCCCAGCAACGUCAACCUGCAGAAGGAAAGGCAGUUUUGUAUGUCCUUCAGAAGGUCACGGAGAUCAUUACGUAAAACUGUCAAUGCGGUGGUGUAGAGGUUGGGUGAGAACGGGAAGUGUUUGCUUCAUUAUCAAGCAGGUAAAAUAGCCGCAAGGCUUAAGAGAGGGGUCAGGGUGAGAAAAAGUCGUAUAAAAGAAGAGAGAAAAGGCGUUUCAAAUCAGUUGAGUGAAAAUCUCCGACACGGCAACAGCUGCUGUGGACUAUUUGUCACCAACUGCAUUCUUCAUCGUAAUACCGGUUCGCAACCAAAUGUUAACUAUGGCGUCGUGCUGCUAUUGGUUGCUGUAUCUUUGAUGGUUGAGUCGACUACUGGGGUACCGAUGUCUCGUGGGUAUGGUGGAUACCAAACCGCAACGCCGGCGUCUUACCACACAUCAUACGCAACAACCGGAGUACUACACCACAACUUAUGAUGUCCCAAACUACUACACUGAAGCCUCAAAAUAUAAUUCUGCCUCGAGUUACACCAGCGGAGUACUACACCACCGAGGCAGCGGAGUACUACACCACCGAGGCAGCGGAGUACUUCACCACCGAGGCAGCGGAGUACUUCACCACCAAGGCAGCGGAGUACUACACCACCAAGGCAGCGGAGUACUACACCACCAAGGCAGCGGAGUACUACACCACCAAGGCAGCGGAGUACUACACCACCAAGGCAGCGGAGUACUACACCACCAAGGCAGCGGAGUACUACACCACCAAGGCAGCGGAGUACUACACCACCAAGGCAGCGGAGUACUACACCACCAAGGCAGCGGAGUACUACACCACCAAGGCAGCGAGUACCAAACGACUGCGUAUGCUGCCCCAGCCUUUUAGUCCGAUGCUCCCAAGUACUACUCCGUUCCCAGCUACUUCACCGAGGCUCCAGCUUAUUACGCCACCACGCGGUCACAACUACACCGAAGCGCCCAAGUACUACUCUUCCCCGAAUUACUACACAGCGGCUGCUCCUUCGUACGUUGGACCGAAAUACUACACGAUGCUCCAGUUUACUACUCUACAACCUACGCUGCACCUAGCUACACCUAGUUAAUACACUAAAGCCCCAAAGUACUACAUCGACGAGGCCGCAUGUUGCACUGAAACCCACGCUGCCCUCAGCUACCAUACCGAGGCUCCGCUCCCAAAUUGCUUCCAAGUACUACACAACCAAGGCACCCGAGCUAUUAGUUAGGCUGCUUCGACCUACUGUACCGAAACUGCGAAGUAUUCCACUGCCCCGAGUUACUACACCACCAAGGCACCUGAAUGUUACAUCACAACCUUCGCUUCUCCAGUUUACUACAGGAAGGCUCUUAAGUACCAGAGCCGAAAUUUCUGAUUGAUUUAUUUGUGUUCAGUUUGUUGGUCAUAUCUCAAUAGUUACUAGUGACUGGGAAUCGUUGUUGAUCUUAAAUGAGAAAAUAAAUUUUUUAAUGGUAA